rnacentral:lncRNA from 1 species
UUCCAUAUGAAAAUAGACUCAUCAAGGUUCGAUUACAUAAUUCAUUCAUUAUUUAUUUACAUUUGUACUAUUUUUAGUGAUUUUUCAAACUUACAAAACUGCUGCUGUCAGCAUCUAUUUUAAGGCAAAUUUCACCUAUUUCAUAGUUUCUAUGAUUCAAUUAGUAAAUUAACAUACAUUAUUUCCAAGUAUGUUCACGAUUAGCCACGACGUACGUAGCACCAAUAGAACCAUG